GGUUCGAUGGCGUAGUUGGUUAUCGCAUCUGUCUAACAUCGCUGGAAGGUAUUUGGCCAAGUUUGUACACAGAAGGUCCCCAGUUCGAGCCUGGGUCGAAUCA